rnacentral:lncRNA from 1 species
CAACGCGCUUGCGCAGGCCGCCCCGGCGGAUCCCCUAGAGCAGAGCGGGGGAGGAGACCCGUUCCUCCGGAGCUGGACGGUGGCUGGGAAGGGGCAGUCCGUGUGAGGGCAGCCUUGGCCUACGGGGUUCCCCUCUUCCAGGAUGAGUGCCAGGUGACGUGUAUCAGAUGCCCGUUGGUGAGAUUUGAGGCGGACCCCAGACCUUAACACCCCUCUGGCUGAGUCCCCUCACAUGGUAGCAGGGCCUACGCCACAGCCACAGCAAUGCGGGAUCCGAGUCAUGUCUGCGACCUACACCACAGCUCACAGCAAGGCCAGAUCCUUAACCCACUGAGCGAGGACAGGGAUCAAACCCUCAACCUCAUGGUUCCUAGUCGGAUUCGUUAACCACUGAACCACGACGGGAACUCCGGUAUUUGUCUUUCUCUUUCUGACUUACUUAGUGAUAAUGAUAAUCUCUAGUUUCAUCCAUGUACUGCAAAUGGCAUUAUUUCAUUCCUUUUCAUGGCUCAGUAGUAUUCCAUUGUAUUUGUAUACUAUAUCAUCUUAAUCCAUUUAUCUGUUGAUGGACAUUUAGGUUGUUUCCAUGUCUUGGCUAUUGUGAAUAGUGCUGCAAUGAACAUAGGAGUACAUAUAUCUUUUUAAUCCACCCAUUUUUUUUUUUUUUUUUUUUUUUUUUUUUUUUGGGCCUCCCCCCACCAAAACACAAACNCACGUCUGUGACCAGCACCACAGUUCAGGGCAACACCAGAUCCUUAACCCACUGAACAAAGGCCAGGGAUUGAACCCGCAACCUCAUGGUUCCUAGUUGGAUUCGUUAACCACUGAGCCACGACGGGAACGCCUCUUUUUAAAUUAUAGUUUUGUCCAGAUAUAUGGAUUGCUGUAUCAUAUGGUAGUUUUAUAUUGCCUUUUCUGAGGAACCCGCAUACUGUUUUCCAUAGUGGUUGUAUCAGUUUACAUUCCUCCAGCCAUGCAGGAGGGUUCCACACCCUCUGCAGCAUUUGUUAUUUGUAGCUUAUGAAUGAUGGCCACUCUGACCAGUAAGAGGUGGUAUCUCACUGUAGUUUUGAUUUGCAUUUCUCUAAUAAUUAGUGAUGUUGAACAUCUUUUAUGUGCCUACUGGCCAGCUGUAUGUCUUCCUUGGAGAAAUGACUAUUUAGGUCUUCUGCACAUUUUUCGAUUAGGUUGUUCGUUCUUUUGUCGUUGAGUUGUAUGAGUUUUGUUUUUUUUUUUUGUAUUUUGGAGGUGAAGCCCUUAUUGGUUGCAUCAUUUGCAACUAUUUUCUUCCAUUCCGUAGGUUGUCUUUUCAUUUUGUUUAUGGUUUCCUUUGAUGUGCAAAAGCUUGUAAGUU